rnacentral:rRNA from 1 species
GCAAGUCGAGCGAGAAGCUAUCUUCGGAUAGUGGACAGCGGCGGACGGGUGAGUAAUGCGUGGGAAUAUGCCCUUUGGUACGGAAUAGCCCCUGGAAACGGGGAGUAAUACCGUAUGUACCCUACGGGGAAAAGAUUUAUCGCCAAAGGAUUAGCCCAUGUUGGAUUAGCUUGUUGGUGAGGUAAGAGCUCACCAAGGCGACGAUCUAUAGCUGGUCUGAGAGGAUGGAC